rnacentral:rRNA from 1 species
GAUCUGGCUCAGGAUGAACGCUAGCUACAGGCUUAACACAUGCAAGUCGAGGGGCAGCAUGGUCUUAGCUUUGCUAAGGCCGAUGGCGACCGGCGCACGGGUGAGUAACACGUAUCCAACCUGCCGUCUACUCUUGGACAGCCUUCUGAAAGGAAGAUUAAUACAAGAUGGCAUCAUGAGUCCACAUGUUCACAUGAUUAAAGGUAUUCCGGUAGACGAUGGG